rnacentral:rRNA from 1 species
UACGUAGGGUGCAAGCGUUAAUCGGAAUUACUGGGCGUAAAGCGUGCGCAGGCGGUUAUGUAAGACAGGUGUGAAAUCCCCGGGCUUAACCUGGGAACUGCAUUUGUGACUGCAUAGCUAGAGUACGGUAGAGGGGGAUGGAAUUCCGCGUGUAGCAGUGAAAUGCGUAGAUAUGCGGAGGAACACCGAUGGCGAAGGCAAUCCCCGUGGACCUGUACUGACGCUCAUGCACGAAAGCGUGG